rnacentral:tRNA from 1 species
GCGGGUGUAGUUUAGUGGUAAAACUACAGCCUUCCAAGCUGUUGUCGCGAGUUCGAUUCUCGUCACCCGCUU